rnacentral:rRNA from 1 species
GACGAACGCUGGCGGCGUGCUUAACACAUGCAAGUCGAACGGAAAGGCCCUGCUUUUGUGGGGUGCUCGAGUGGCGAACGGGUGUGUAACACGUGAGUAACCUGCCCUCGACUUUGGGAUAACUUCAGGAAACUGGGGCUAAUACCGGAUAGGAGCUCCUGCUGCAUGGUGGGGGUUGGAAAGUUUCGGCGGUUGGGGUUGGACUCGGGGCUUAUCAGCUUGUUGGUGGGGUAGUGGCUUACCAAGGGGGUGACGGGUAGCCGGCCUGAGAGCGUGACCGGCGACAUGGGGCCGGAGCAACGGCCCAGAAGCCGAAGGGAGGCAGAGUCAGGGAAUAUUACACAAAAGCAGGAAGCCUGAGGCAACAACGCCGGGUGCGUGGAGACGACCUUCGGGUUGUAAACCGCGUUCGCCUGUUACGAAGCGAGAGUGACGGUAAUAGGAGAAGAAGCACCGGCUAACUACGUG